AUGGCCCCAGCUUCUGCCUCCCUCCUCCCCGCCGCCACCACCAAGCGCCCCGUCGACGCCCAAGACCCCGACGCUGCUGAGCAUCCACUCCCGCAGGAGAGCGCGGUGACCAAGAAGGACGGCCAGAGUCAGCAGCAGCAGCAGCAGAGGCUGGAGUGCCCGCGGUGCAGCUCCAGCGACACCAAGUUCUGCUACUACAACAACUACAGCACCACGCAGCCGCGCCACUACUGCCGCACCUGCCGCCGCUACUGGACGCACGGUGGCACGCUCCGCAACGUGCCCGUCGGCGGGGCAUGUCGCCGUGCCGGCAAGCGCCGCAAGGCCUCCGCCGAUCCCCAAACGCCCUCGUCCAACUCGCUGGCGCAGCAGCCGGACCUUCAGGACACGCGCUCCCUCCCGGACUUCCCAUUCCUCACCGACGACGGCGCCGUCUUCCUGCCGCAGUUCGACCUCAGGCUCGGCCGGUUCCCAUGGACGACGCCGGCGACCACGGACCACCUUUACGACGGGCUCGCGCCGUGGGGUGCCUGUGACGAGGCGCUCGCUCCCACCGGCGCUACGGGAGCGUGGGACGACUUCGGCGGCCUGGAUCUCACCUGGCCACCGCCGCCACCCCCGGCGGCCGGCAACCGAUGA
rnacentral:rRNA from 1 species